GCACCAGGAAGAUGGCUUCUCCCACCUCCCCGGCCCCGGAAGGCGGGGCCUCCACCCCGCCGAACCCGCCGCGGAUUCGUCAGGUAAGUAACUGAACAGGGACAUGAAGAACUGAUAUUUCAAAUGACAGCCAUGUUGCAAAAGGUACUUUUGGUAUUUUAAUAUCACUGUAAAAGUAAUCCUAUCGAAAGAUAUAGAGGUUGGAAAGUAACUAAGUACAAUUUUGGCAAAAAUAAUUUUUUAUGUAAACAGAUUUAAAGAUGUUAGAGCUUUAAUAAUAUUUUAAUUAUGAAAAACGUAAUAUUGUCAGUAUUACAGGGGAGUGGAAAGAUAAAGAGAUUGAUCAUUUUGUCAACAUAUUGACUGGUGGAAAGAGGGAGGUUGGGGACCAAGUUUGGUGUAAUAGACAAAGUGAACACAUUGGGAUUUGUGCAUCAGAGUCAUCUAUUUUCUCUAAGGGAUUAUGGUUUCUUGUCUGUUAUCAAAACAUUAUCUCCAGGAUUGCUCAUCAAAUUGAUUGCUCUAAGCUUGUCAAUAACGCAGUUUGAUUCUGGAUAAUUUAAAUAGAUUGAAUCACUGUGGAGAACUCUCCAGAUUCUAUUUAUGUAAAAAAAAAAAGUUUUUAAACAGAAGGGAGGGAGGAAGGGAAGAAGGAAAUAUUACACUUAGAAAUAAAGAAUAUAAAAAUUCUCAGUUCUGAAUAUCUGUCACAUGCAUGGUUUGUGGAAAUCUGAUUUUUUUUUAAGUCCCAAAUCUCAUCUAGAAGAAUCUCUUUCUUCUCUAGAAGAAAUCCUUAAAAUAUUGUAGAAACUAUCAUUGUCACAGGGGAGACAAUUGCAUUAUGAAUUGUUAGACGAGCUGUGUGAUACCAUUAACAUUGGCAAUCACACAAAAGACUGUGAUAUUUUAGAUGCACUGAACCAUGUAUUGUCCCUUUGUACUAAAUUAACAAUUCAUUUCAAUAAGCAGAAGAUACAUGAGAAUAUCAAAAGAAGAGAAAUCAACUCAAAUAUAAAAUCACAAUAAAAAAAACUUUUCAUUUUGCUUAAAAUUUUCUGAAGGAUCUUACAAAUCUCAGGACAGGUGCCACUGAAGAGGCCUAAUGUGAAGAGAAAUUUGAAAAAAAAAUUGGGGGAACAACUUUAUACUAGGAAGUUUACUUUUUUAAUGAUCAUUUAAUUAGCAUAAAUUUUCUCUGCUUUGUGACUAUUCUUUUGUCAAAUGAGAUCUAGGGAAUUUUAUCAAUACUGAUAAUGAGAGCACUAAUCAGCUUGGGCUGUUUUUAGAAAGGGCAGAUAUUACCCUGUCAUAUUAUAGUAAUAUGUUAUGAUACAAUUUGCUUCACUUGAGGUACAGUGAGGCUUCCAAGUGUGAAUGCCAAGUCAGCAGUUGGAUUGAUGAGUCUUAGAAACUCAGAGAAGAGAUCUGUGGUGGAUUUUGGGAAUCAUUGUCUCAAAGUUCAUAACUAAGACGGUUGAAAUAAGUAAGCCACUUUUGUAGAGACUAUAGUGUGAUAAAGAUUUGAGGACUAAUUCCAAUACUUGAAAGAAAGGUGAGACUAAUGAGUUGACAGAGUGUCAAAUGUUACUGACAGGUCAAGAAACAUGAAGGCUUCAAUAAACCCAUUAGAUUUUCCCAUGUGAAUGUCCUUAGUAACACUGGCAAGGGAAGUUUUGGUGAAAUGGUAAGGACAAAAGCCAGAUUGGAGGUGGAUUGAGGAAUAAAUAGGAAGUAAGGACAUGGAGUUGGCAAAAAUAAUAGCUCUUUGAAAAAUUUGUCUCUGAAUAAAAGGGGAGAGAAUCCAGUAGCUGGACAGGGAUGUUGGGAUGAGAGAGAGCCUUGAACAUGUUUAAAUGUUCAUGAGAAUGGUGCAGAAGAAGGGAAGAAAUGAAGGUAUGGGUUUCUUGAGAAUGAAGAAAGGGCUGGAGUAGGCAGUGCAGGAAAAGAGAUUACCCAUACCUGGUGGGAGGAUACCUACUUCAACAUAACUAAGGCAGUGAGAGUAGGGUGUGUACACAUACAGAUAAGCUCAUAGACUUGGUAUAAUACUUAUAAGGAGUAUUAACAAUGGUUUCUCUUUUCUCUAUGAAAAAGGUAUGGCCAGUGCAGUUAGGAAAGUUUUUGAGGAAAAGAGGAAAGCUGGAAAUAGUGUUUGUAGAGAGUAGAAGGGGAGAGGGAAAGUUGUGUUGGAGACUAUGUUGUUAGACUAGGCUGGUAUCAAUGACUGAUAAUUUGUAGUUUAUCAGAUUCUCUGAAUUUUGCAGUGGUCUUAAGAUUCCAAUUUGUGAACUUGCCAAUUCAGUCAACCUUUGUAGAUUGUGACAAGCCUUAGGUGGUAUAAGGAUUUAUUUAAACCUAAUAAAUGAUUACCUUCUUCCAUAGAAUUAGGAUGGAACCAUAUUUGAAGACAUUCAUCUAAGUGUGGUCAUUUCCCUUAAUUUUCAUGAAUAUAUACUAUGUAUAUUUGUAAAUGUACUAUAUGCAUGAAUAUUAUUUUCAAAAAAUCAGAAACCAAAGAUCUUCUGCUUCAAGGAAAGGGAUCAGAAAGAUAGUGACUAUUCUUUUUCAGGUCCUCAGUUUUGGUGUGUAUUUCCUAAUGACACUAUUUUCAUGGCAAAAUUUAGGAUCACUAUUUGACUUUGAAGAAAAGAUUCCUUUCUUUAAAAUCCAAAGUUUGUGUCCUAUUUGCCAUGACAGAAGAGAGCCUGUUGUCCCUACUCAGGCGUCACAUAGCUUGGCACAUUCUUCCACUUCUGGCCAGUAUCCUUUGGAUAGUCAAGUGAGACUGUGAAAGUAUUAAGUGGGUCCAGAAGAUGAAAAACUUCAGUUUGUUGACUUUGAAUUGUAAGACUGUUAUGUUAAUAUGCACAUUUAACUAGAAACUCUAAAUUUCCAUUUCCCAUUUUGAUUUUUAAGAGUGUUUACUUGAGGGCAUAGAGCUCUUUAUUAGACUGAAGAGAUCUUCUAGUUCAGGAACUUUCAAAUGUUUUUUUAGCUGCAAAACCACUUUGAAAAUUAAAAUUUGGUAUAAACAAAGAUAAAAAGAGAAGUGUUCUGGUUUCAUUAGGCAUGGGGGAUCUUGGAUCCACCUAUAGUCGCCACCUCCUUCUCAUCCCGCUUUUGGGUAGGUCUUCUGAGACCUCACCACUGAACCUUGGAAUAUUGAAAAUUAAAAUUCUAGGUGAUCACAACUAUACUGAAUUUCAUUAAAAUAUAAAAUUUUUAAGAUAAAUUGUGGUUUGCGGAUAAUUUUGUUCUCUGAUUAAAAUAAGCAGGUUACUGCCUACUUUGACCCAAGUCAUAUAAUUAUUUUAUAAUGCUAAUUUUAGUGAUAAUAGAUACUAAUUUUGGCCAAAGAAAUUCCAUAAAAAACAUUUCUAACUAUGUUUCAAAUCUGCGGUUGAAAAUGCCAGGCACUCCAUUUAAUUAUGUUUGCUGGUCCGGAUGACCAAAGUUUGUAAAUGGGGAGCCCGUUAGUGAGCUCA